GACGAACGCUGGCGGCGUGCUUAACACAUGCAAGUCGAACGAAGUGGCGAACGGGUGAGUAACGCGUAAUCAACCUGCCCUUCAGAGGGGGACAACAGUUGGAAACGACUGCUAAUACCGCAUACUGAAGGAGGGGAUUGCGUCUGAUUAGCUAGUUGGAGAGGUAACGGCUCACCAAGGCGAUGAUGGGUAGCCGGCCUGAGAGGGUGAUCGGCCACAAGGGGACUGAGACACGGCCCUUACUCCUACGGGAGGCAGCAGUGGGGAAUAUUGGACAAUGGACCAAAGUCUGAUCCAGCAAUUCUGUGUGCACGAUGAAGUUUUUCGGAAUGUAAAGUGCUUUCAGUUGGGAAGCGGUACCAACAGAAGAAGUGACGGCUAAAUACGUGCCAGCAGCCGCGGUAAUAC
rnacentral:rRNA from 1 species